UCCCCUACGGGAGGCAGCAGUCGGGAAUAUUGGACAAUGGGCGCAAGCCUGAUCCAGCAAUACCGCGUGUGUGAAGAAGGCCUGCGGGUUGUAAAGCACUUUCAGUUGGGAAGAUAAUGACGUUACCAACAGAAGAAGCACCGGCUAACUCCGUGCCAGCAGCCGCGGUAAUACGGAGGGUGCAAGCGUUAAUCGGAAUUACUGGGCGUAAAGCGUGCGUAGGCGGUUACUUAAGUCAGAUGUGAAAUCCCCGGGCUCAACCUGGGAACUGCAUCGGAGACUGGGUGACUAGAGUGUGGGAGAGGAGAGUGGAAUUUCCGGUGUAGCGGUGAAAUGCAUAGAGAUCGGAAGGAACAUCAGUGGCGAAGGCGACUCUCUGGACCAACACUGACGCUGAGGCACGAAAGCGUGGGUAGCAAACAGGAUUAGAUACCCUGGUAGUCGAU
rnacentral:rRNA from 1 species